AUUGAACGCUAGCGGGAUGCCUUACACAUGCAAGUCGAACGGAGUGGCGAACGGGUGAGUAAUGUAUCGGAACGUGCCCAGUAGCGGGGGAUAACUACGCGAAAGCGUCGCUAAUACCGCAUACUAUUGGAGCGGCCGAUAUCGGAUUAGCUAGUUGGUGGGGUAACGGCCUACCAAGGCGACGAUCCGUAGCUGGGUUGAUAGGACGACCAGCCACACUUGGACGUGAGAACGGCCCAAGCUCCGACGGGAGGCAGCAGUGGGGAAUGAUGGACAAUGGGGGAAAACCGGAUCCAGCCAACCCUGGUGUGCGAUGAAGGCGUUCGGGUUGUAAAGCACUUUUGUGAUGAGAGCGGUACCUGCAGAAUAAGCACCGGGUAACUACGUGGCAGGAGGCGGGGUAAUAC
rnacentral:rRNA from 1 species